CCUCUAAAGGUCAGUACUGCGCUCCUGUGAGGUCUGUGCAAAAGGCCUAGAUGGAUUCAGGAUAGCACCGGCCCCCUUGGCCUCAGGCAACAAAACGCCUUCGAGCCGGUCCCGAGGACAGCGGGAGAGCAAGAAGCGUGCAGGACACACGGGCCGCCCCGGCUACCGUUGCCUUGCGAAGACCUCCCCGUGCAGGGAAAGCCCUUCCCCUCCCGCCGGCGUCUUGCUUUGGGUCGGGAAAGCAAGAAGGAGCCUGGCGUAGCAGGAGCAGGGCGCGCGCCGCCCUCCUCAGACAAAGCAGCCGCUGAGGAAAGGAAGCCUGCUGAACAAGAGUAAAAAUAGACCCGGCAGUUACUCAGCGCCUGAGAACAUGAUGACAUGACUCAUGAGGGGGCACGGGGAUGUCAGAAAAAGAAGAAGAAGAAGAGUUUGGAUUUGA